UAAAAAGGUACAAUAAUUAGUGAUAAAAAGCAUAAAUAGUAAAAUGGGAUAAUAAAUAGUGAUAAUCCUAGUGAAUCAAUUCAUGAAUGAUGGGUUGUUAUUGUUAAAAACACGAUUUGAAUGUAUUUGAUAUAGCAGUACUUUUACUGUGACAGUUACGAUCUGGUUCUUUUAUUUUGACAUGCUGUUUAGCAAGCAUUCGGUUUCUGAUGGAGCCAUUCAGUCUGUUGAGCGGAUGAGAGCCAGAGAGUUGGAAACUCCACGUUUUCAGAGCUAGAAACAAUUGAAAGAAACUAAUUCUAAGUUGUUUACGAAGUUUAAGUUUCCUUUGGAGUGCUGAGCGACCAGCUCUGUAAAUGCUGUAUGUUUGAAGACCAGAAGAUUUGUUUCGUCGAGUAUUUCUUUUGUUUGAAUCGUCUCGGUCAAGUUUUUGAGCUGGAUCUGGAUUUCGCUGAGGAUUCGUGGACUACAUUAGAUGGCGAGCCACCCACCCAUUCGAGUGUGAUCCUGUUCUAUGUCGUUGCACAUGGCAUAUCUGGGUCUACAGUUACAUCAAAUUGAUAUUAUGGAGGAUGGAAUUGCUGGAAGCACACAGACUCUCUCCAAGAUGGCUAGGAAAAUAAGAGCCAUCUGCAUCAGUAGAGCAGCCGGAAGGUGCAGAUUGUUGGUAGUCACAGGGAGUUUGUAAUGCUGGAUGAGAGCAACUUUCCUCAUCAGCAAAAGUAUGGAAGAGGACGGUGUGCAAACACAUGGCAGAGAAGAAAGUGGGUCUUUGGGAUUCUGAGGGUUGGCCGACGGUAUAACAGACCAAUUUUCAAACUGGUCCAGCGUAGGUCCAGUCGUGCUCUUCUCCCACUUAUUGUGCAGCAUGUGCGUCCUGGAACCAAUGUCCUGAGCGAUGAGUGGUGAGCCUACAGAGGUGUGUUCACCAAUUAUGGCUACACCCACUUCCCUGUCAACCACAGCCAGUGGUUUGAUGACCCUGUAACAGGCAGCCAUACACAGACCUUGGAGAGAGUGUGGGCCAUAUACCAAGGGAUGGUAUGGUGACUGAGAGGGAACAAGACGGCCUUACUAAAAGAGCAUCUCUCGGUAAUCAAGUGGACCUGCUGGCUAGCAAAUCACUGCAAACCUGCCUUUUGGAAGACUCAUGAAGGACCUUUGGAAAAUGUACCCACUGUCAAAAGCGGUCCCCGAUACCCAUUGUUAAUAUCUCUGAAAUUGCGUUCAGUUCAAUUUCAGUAAAAGGACUCAAUUUUGCUGUUUAAUUCUAUAAAAAAAGCUGAAGAUGUUCAAAUAUUCUCAACUAAUUAAUGAUAUCCAACCUAGCCUAAUGAUAACAGCUAGUUCACUAUGAUGAAUUGCUUCAACAUGCACCACGCCCAGAAUUUCAGAAAUGCUCAAUAGGUUGGAUCUUAACAGUUUAGUUCUAAUAAUUAGUUAAGCUAAAUGAUCAACAUUUUUAGCAUGUUGGAAGUCUUUCUUAAGAAAUAAAUAGUAUAUCAAUAAAAAUCAGUAAUGCUUACUCUGUGUUACUCCUAAGCCUUUACUGAGUGUUAAUAAGGUGGAAAUGUUGUCAACUCUACAAGGGUAACAAAUAUAAAUAAUUAAUGGCUGUAUGUGUUUAAGUAAAUGCUUAUUAAACAUUAUUAUCAGGUUUCUAAA